rnacentral:rRNA from 1 species
UACAGAGGAUGCAAGCGUUAUCCGGAAUGAUUGGGCGUAAAGCGUCUGUAGGUGGCUUUUUAAGUCCGCCGUCAAAGCCCGGGGCUCAACUCCGGAAUUGCCUUUGAAACGGGAUCGCUUGAGUCCGAGAGAGGAUGGCGGAAUUCCUAGUGUAGAGGUGAAAUUCGUAGAUAUUAGGAAGAACACCGGUGGCGAAGGCGGCCAUCUGGCUCGGUACUGACGCUCAGGCGCGAAAGCGUGGGGAGCAAACAGG